rnacentral:rRNA from 1 species
AAUAGAUACCCGGGUAGUCCACGCCGUAAACGAUGAGUGCUAAGUGUUAGGGGGUUUCCGCCCCUUAGUGCUGCAGCUAACGCAUUAAGCACUCCGCCUGGGGAGUACGGUCGCAAGACUGAAACUCAAAGGAAUUGACGGGGGCCCGCACAAGCGGUGGAGCAUGUGGUUUAAUUCGAAGCAACGCGAAGAACCUUACCAGGUCUUGACAUCCCGUUGACCACUGUAGAGAUAUAGUUUCCCCUUCGGGGGCAACGGUGACAGGUGGUGCAUGGUUGUCGUCAGCUCGUGUCGUGAGAUGUUGGGUUAAGUCCCGCAACGAGCGCAACCCUUGAUCUUAGUUGCCAUCAUUUAGUUGGGCACUCUAAGGUGACUGCCGGUGACAAACCGGAGGAAGGUGGGGAUGACGUCAAAUCAUCAUGCCCCUUAUGACCUGGGCUACACACGUGCUACAAUGGACGAUACAAACGGUUGCCAACUCGCGAGAGGGAGCUAAUCCGGAUAAAGUCGUUCUCAGUUCGGAUUGUAGGCUGCAACUCGCCUA